GGCCGGUUGGCCCAAUGGCAAGGCGUCUGACUACGAUUAAAACGGUAUCAGGAGAUUCUGGGUUCGACCCCCAGGCUGGUCA
rnacentral:tRNA from 1 species